CUCAUUCCCUGUCCUCGGAUCACAGUCUCUUCUCACUACAGUGUCGCCGCCUCUGCCUGCGUAGCCCCGGCCAUGGCUCUGUAGCCUCGACCCCUUUGUGCCCCCGGCCCGUCUCCGCGCUCACCACGCCUGCGCUCUCCGCUCCCACCUUCUUUCUUCAGCCGAGGCCGCCGCCGCCUCUCCUUGCUGCAGCCAUGGAGUGAGUAACCGCUUACCUCUUCUCCAACUGCCUUUCCCGCCCUUUCGCAGCUCGUGGCCCUCUUUAGGGAGCCCUGGGGGGUGGGGAGUCGCGAGCGGGGAAUCACGGUCGCGCAGGCGCAGAAGUAGUACGGUGGGCCGAAGGCGCGCGGCUGCGCAUGCGCACUGGGCCCGGGGCCGGGUGGGAGAGUUCUAGACUCGAUGUUUGUCAGCCCGCGUGCAGCUGGGCCUGAGCACUCCAGGGGAGGGUGUGUUUUUUUUUUUUCUAAACGAUUCUUCGUGCUUGGUUGUUCCUGCGCAGUAGCCCACCAGUGCCCCGUAGUGAAAGAGCUGCGGACCCUGAAUGGCCGCACAUGCGCAUUGAUCCCCAAGAGGGCGGAGGUGUAAAGGCAAUUGGACCGCUCGGGCGACGUAGCAUGCGCCUUGGCCCUCGGCGCAGAGCCGCGUGUGGACGGGUGGCGUUCGGGUAGCCGUUCUCCGCGUGCCCCCUCUACCCUCCUCCACCCUCCCUGCCCCACGUUGCUCUGGCUCACAGCCCAGCUUCCUUCCUUUUAAACCAGGCACCUGCUGAGGCGGGGACUGGCUUAGAUUGACAGGGCAGAAGGCGGGACCCAGAGGCAACCCUCUAAGUGGGUGGGGAUAGAACCACUGUCGUCACGAUGGGUGGGAUUUCGGAAGCACAUUGUGAGAAGGGGCGGGGCUAAACCACCCGAGGGGACCGCAAGCAAAAGAAGAGAGACCAGAACAAGUCGGCGGCUCUGAGGUACCGCCAGCGGAAGCGGGCAGAGGGUGAGGCCCUGGAGGGCGAGUGCCAGGGGCUGGAGGCACGGAAUCGCGAGCUGAAGGAACGGGCAGAGUCCGUGGAGCGCGAGAUCCAGUACGUCAAGGACCUGCUCAUCGAGGUUUACAAGGCCCGGAGCCAGAGGACCCGUAGCUGCUAGAAGGGCAGGGGUGUGGCUUCUGGGGGCUGGUCUUCAGCUCUGGCGCCUUCAUCCCCCUGCCUCUACCUUCAUUCCAAACCCCUCUCGGCCGGGUGCAGUGGCUUAUGCUUGUAAUCCCAGCACUUUGGGAGGCCAAGGCAGGAGGAUCGUUUGAGGCCAGGAGGUCAAUACCAGCCUGGGCAACAUAGUAAGACCCUGUCUCUAUUAAAAAAAAAAAAUCAACCCUUCUUCCCCACCAAACCACCCAACUCCUCUCUACUCUUAUCCUUUUAUCCUCUGUCUCUGCUUAUCACCUCUCUUGCGUAUUUCUGGAUCUCCUUCCCUCCUUUCUCGUCCAAAUCAUGAAAUGUUUGGCCUUAGUCAAUGUCUAUGCCCGUCACAUAACAGCCGAGGCACCGAGGCCCACAGGGAAGCAGCUGGGAGCUUGGAAACCUGGUCUCUUGAAUUUCAAACCUGGUUUCUUACAGGUGGUUGUCUGGGGUGGGUGGAGUGGCGACAGGAUAGAGCUGAAGGACUAUGCAAAUGAGGAAGUAAGUCAGGGCGGGCUUUGAGAAGGGGACCCAUAUCCUACAGGCAAAAAGCAGGCUAGGUGACCUUGGGACACUACGCUAAGGGAGGGAGGCUAAAGGCGGCCAGGUUUGCAGUGCGGGAAGAUGAGCAGGCCAGUGGGAGGAGGGGCAGGGCAGGGCUGUAGUUGGUGACUGGGUGUUCAUUUUAGCUCUAAGAAAAAAAAUCAGUGUUUCGUGAAGGUGUUGGAGAGGGGCUGUGUCUGGGUGAGGGAUGGCGGGGUACUGAUUUUUUUGGGAGGUUAUGAGCAAAAAUAAAACGAAACAUUUCCUCUG
rnacentral:lncRNA from 10 species